ACGGGUGAGUAAUAUAUCGGAACGUGCCCAAUCGUGGGGGAUAACGUAGAGAAAUUUACGCUAAUACCGCAUACGAUCUAAGGAUGAAAGCGGGGGAUCGCAAGACCUCGCGCGAUUGGAGCGGCUGAUAUCAGAUUAGGUUGUUGGUGAGGUAAAAGCUCACCAAGCCGACGAUCUGUAGCUGGUUUGAGAGAACGACCAGCCACACUGGGACUGAGACACGGCCCAGACUCCUACGGGAGGCAGCAGUGGGGAAUUUUGGACAAUGGGCGAAAGCCUGAUCCAGCAAUGCCGCGUGCAGGAAGAAGGCCUUCGGGUUGUAAACUGCUUUUGUACGGAACGAAACGGCUCUUUCUAAUAAAGAGGGCUAAUGACGGUACCGUAAGAAUAAGCACCGGCUAACUACGUGCCAGCAGCCGCGGUAAUACGUAGGGUGCGAGCGUUAAUCGGAAUUACUGGGCGUAAAGCGUGCGCAGGCGGUUAUAUAAGACAGUUGUGAAAUCCCCGGGCUCAACCUGGGAAUUGCAUCUGUGACUGUAUAGCUAGAGUACGAUAGAGGGGGGUGGAAUUCCGCGUGUAGCAGUGAAAUGC
rnacentral:rRNA from 1 species